UACGUAGGGUGCAAGCGUUGUCCGGAAUUAUUGGGCGUAAAGAGCUCGUAGGCGGCUCGUCGCGUCGACCGUGAAAACCCGCAGCUUAACUGCGGGCUUGCGGUUGAUACGGGCGGGCUAGAGUUCGGUAGGGGAGACUGGAAUUCCUGGUGUAGCGGUGAAAUGCGCAGAUAUCAGGAGGAACACCGGUGGCGAAGGCGGGUCUCUGGGCCGAUACUGACGCUGAGGAGCGAAAGCGUGGGGAGCGAACAGG
rnacentral:rRNA from 1 species